UACAUGGGGUGCAAACGUUGCUCGGAAUUAUUGGGCGUAAAGCGCACGUAGGCGGUUUGUUAAGUCGGAUGUGAAAUCCCUCGGCUCAACUGAGGAAGUGCAUCCGAAACUGGCAGGCUUGAGUACGAAAGAGGGUCGCGGAAUUCCCGGUGUAGAGGUGAAAUUCGUAGAUAUCGGGAGGAACACCGGUGGCGAAGGCGGCGACCUGGGUCGAUACUGACGCUGAGGUGCGAAAGCGUGGGGAGCAAACAGG
rnacentral:rRNA from 1 species